rnacentral:snoRNA from 1 species
AUCCUUUUGUAGUUCAUACGCGUGAUAACUGGGUUUUCACACACGUAUGAGAUGUGCCUCCCUCAAACCUUGCUACAGCAUUGGUACAUUAUCUGUCCAACA